rnacentral:rRNA from 1 species
AUGUUUUUGAGGAGUGCCACUACAGCAACAAGAAGAAAGGGUACACAGACACCGUACAAUCUGCGCACUUUCUCUCAACCUACUAAAAAUGGAGACCCGCAUAUCUCUGUGACUGAGGUUGUAUCUAAUGUGCUCACUCAGCGUACCAAGAAGCCCAAGUUUCUUCAUAAUGUGUGGAUCCUCCAUGUGCGUGAGAGAACCAGUGGUACCAACCUUGAAGCACAACUAGCAUCGGAGAAGGGCAGUGCAGAUAUUCAGGAGGUAGUCAACACCUUGUCUAAGAAGGUAGAGGAAUCAGAAGCAAGGUUCAGAGAAGAAGAGUACAUGAAGAAGCAAGCCGAGGUGGAUUAA